rnacentral:snRNA from 1 species
CUACCUACCUGGCAGAGAAAGCAUCGUGACCAUUAAGGUGGUUCUCUUUGGGUGAGGCUCACCCAUUGCACUCUGGGUGUACUGACCUUCUGCAGUUUCCUCAAACUGGGAGAAACCUGACUGUGUGUUUUGUGGUAGUGAGAGGUAUUGAUAUGCCAGCACUCUCC